GACCUGGCUGGGUGGUCCGCUUAACGGCGUGUACUGUUCGGCUGGGCCUUACCUCUUGGUGAGCCAGUGUGGUCUUAACUGACUGCAUUGGGGAACCAGGACUUUUACCUUGAGAAAAUUAGAGUGUUCAAAGCAGGCCUAUGCCUGAAUACAUUAGCAUGGAAUAAUAAAAUAGGACGU
rnacentral:rRNA from 1 species